AUACGGAGGAUGCGAGCGUUAUCCGAAUUUAUUGGGUUUAAAGGGUGCGUAGGCGGAAAGGUAAGUCAGCGGUGAAACUCAGGUGCUCAACACCUGCCGUGCCGUUGAUACUGUUUUUCUGGAAUGCGGAUGCUGUGGGAGGAAUGUGUGGUGUAGCGGUGAAAUGCAUAGAUAUCACACAGAACACCGAUUGCGAAGGCAUCUCACAAAUCCGUGAUUGACGCUGAGGCACGAAAGUGUGGGGAUCGAACAGGAUUAGAUACCCUGGUAGUCCACACUGUAAACGAUGAUAACUCGCUGUUGGCGAUAUACAGUCAGUGGCCAAGCGAAAGCGAUAAGUUAUCCACCUGGGGAGUACGUCGGCAACGAUGAAACUCAAAUGAAUCGGCGGGG
rnacentral:rRNA from 1 species